GAAAAGAGGAAAAAAAAGUUGAGUAAUCUUUGAUCCUGCUUUCAGCAAACCUCUGCUGUACAAGUGAACAGGAGAUCAAACGUGAACAGAUUUUUGUGCUGUACUCUGCUAUAGGAAUCCAAUACUCCAAGAAUCCAAUGGUUGGUGUGAGAAAACUUUGAGCUAACAAAUCCUUGCCACUGGACUCCUGAGGAUCCUGAGAGAGCAAAGGCCUUAAACCUUGAUGAGGAUCAGCAGAAAGGGAUGUGGUCCCUGGCAGGGUGGACAAGAGAUUUUAUGAUUUCUGGGAGAAGUACUUGUUUCAACUUUUUAAGCUGAAGAUCAAAAGAAGUGAAGAUUUCAAGUGGCCUCUCCAAUAAAAGUCACCAUGUCCCAGGAAGACCGGUUGUGUUCCUAAGUUACAAAGGCAGUGGUUUAUUAGGUAGAUAUAAUUCAUUACAGAAAAAUAAAAGCUUUUAUUUCCAAGACAGUAUUUUAAAAGAAAUCCAUCUUCUAGCAUGUUGGACCUCAGAUUUUUUUUCAGUAUACUGUUAAUACCAGUUUUAGGACAAUUAACAAAACCUUCUGUUCAUCUCAGAGGGAGGUUAAAUCAAACAGCAGGAGGGUAUCAGUAUUUUUUACAAUAACAUUUCAAUCAUUGACCCUAUGACAGCCCCACUAGUGCAACCCACUAUUUCCUUUAUUAAAGCCUGAACAUUUCACAGAGUUCAUCCCUGACACCAAGGUCUCCAGGCUGAAGUCACAGCACACAGGGCUGCCAAGUGCCUUUCACCAAAACACAGCAUGAGAGCUGCUGUAUCCACAACAUGAAGGCUGUUAUAUAGCUCAGAUUCUGAUCCUAAAACCCUCAUCCAUGCCUGCCAAAAAUGACCUGAAAGGCUUCUUCAGGUAGCACCAGUGUGGGUCAGGCCAAAGUACCUAAUGCCUGAGCUUGCGUGCAUUUCUGCCUCUGUCAGCUGGGCACCUGGAAAAGAUAAAACACACUUACUGCAACCAGUUCUGCACUCCAGUCUGCUCCUGCACCAAGAUCACAUCCUGAAUAUGGAAAAUGUCCUUAUGCAAAUCUCAGAUUGUGUUCACUGAUGUUUUGCAUUUAGGUUUGUUUUCCUUUUUCAGCAUAGUAAGGGCUUCAGGAUAGCAGUAAAGCUGCUGUACAGCUAACUGAACUCCUAUACCAUUAGGCAAAUUAAUUUUACAUAUAAAUUAUUUAAAUUUAAUC